UAUUCUGCCCCACGGGGAAGGAUGAGAAGCUUCGACUAAGGUUCGACUCGAGCGUAGCGAGAGAACGUUGCCGCAGGCAACGGCCCGAAGGGCGAGGCGCUUUAGCGCCGAGUAACCCUUCCCCCACCACCA
rnacentral:sRNA from 1 species